CUCUGUUGAUUUGGAAGAGGGCAAGCAGAUUAUCCUCUGUUGAUUUGGAAGAGGGCAAGCAGAUUAUCUUCGGUUGAUUUGGAAGAAUGCAAGCAGAUUAUCCUCUUUUGAUUUGGAAGAUUGCAAGCAGAUUAUCCUCUGUUGAUUUGGAAGAGGUCAAGCAGAUUAUCGUCUGCUGAUUUGGAAGAAGGCAAGCAGAUUAUCCUCUGUUGAUUUGAAGAUGCCAAGCGGAUUAUUAUCCGUCUAUAAUCUCAUUCCUUAGGAUCACAACCAAAAUAAGACUUACGUUUGGUGUGCACUUAAUAACUGGUUUAUGGGCUAAGUUCUUCAGUGAUGCAGGGCCGGUCUUGUAAUAGGCAAGGCUAGCAAAUGCUAGGGGCGCCACGGAUCUUGGGCGUGCAAUAUAUAUAAAUGAAAUACUAGCACUGCUGCAGCAACAACUGCGAAUAAUUAAUUGUAUUAAUCUUCUAAUGUAUGAUGAAUAGUCUCGCCAAGAAAUGUGCAGAAUAGACAGGAACGAGAAGAAAAUUAGAGUAAUGAAGAUUUAUUGAUAAAAACUGUAACAAAUGCUGCAAUUCGUAUUAAUAGAUUUUCAUUACCCUACAUUUCAAGGGCUUCUUGUCUCAUAUUACCGUUAUUAUUAAUAAAUGAUGCAAUCUAUGUUAAAUUUUGCAUAUGCGAUAAUAAAAUGCAUAUAUCAGUUAUGUUUGAUUUUACACCUGCGUGUGUAUCUCAAUGCAAGAAACAAGCUCUAUAUUUUUAAGCUCUUAUAAAGCCGCUGUGAACUCUUCAUCAGACACCAGAUAGGAAAUCUGAGUAAAAAUUAUGGAACAGUCAGAUAUCAACCUUAGCAAGCCAGAAGAGCAUUUCUUGAGCUGAGGAAAUCUCUUCAGACUGUCCAGGUUCUGUCAUUAAAGUCGUUGGAAGAAUUGUGAUUGAGUCAUUGCAUUAUUUGCUCAGCAGUUUUGUUUGGUAUACUUGGCGAAACUCAGUAUAAGUAAAGUUUUGCAGUCAAUCUCCAUGUAGCUUGGCGUGGCUGUGGACUUUCUCAUGAAGACUAGAUAUUCUCUUGUUUGCCACAGGAAACCUGUCCAGCGAUGAAUGUGGACUCACUGCUAAAACAAGCGAAAUAGAGAAACAGAAAAAAGAUUUCAGCCACGAGUGUGCGGAUGAGCAUAUCAGUGAUGCACAUAAGAGAAAGGAGAAUAAUAUUUCUAUUGUGGUAUUGGGCACUGCCAUUUUCUUGCUUGUUGAAAGGUUUAAAACCUUGAGAGUCUAAAGACAGCAAGACCACUGCCAAACCCUCAGAAACACAUUGACGCCCGAAGGACGCUGGAACUUAGAUGGUAAGAAUCUAACUAUGUAGCUAUAGAUUUUCCGGAUUUGCCUUCAUGCAACACGCCACCCUUGGACCUCUUACCCUCUGGGCGGGAAAAGAGGCAGACUAUUAUAUUUCUUAAAAUAUCCCUGCAAGAAUACCUGCAGCGGGGAGGAGCUUUUCUAUACCUAAGUUAAGAAAAACAUACAUGAGCUCUGCAGUGGUGCAAGAACUUACAGUGGACUGGUUACCGUUACAGUGAAUCAUGAAGUUUCCAGAUAAUACUGUAAUUCAUGAAUUUGCUGCAUAAGGUCAAGUCGAAGCACCUCAUAAUAUGUAUGAAAAUAUGAAGAGAUUUGAUCAAAUUUCAAAUAAUUACUGUUUUAUGUUGCUAUUUUCAUGAUCUAUUCUUGAACUUCGGAUUAUAUCUUACAAAAUAAACCUAGAAU